CAGACUUACACGAUUACCUUUUCUGCCUUCUCUCUCUCUCUCUCUCUCUCUCUCUCGCUCUCCUCAAAGCCAGCAGUUCAGUUGCAGAAGCGUAAUGUAAUUCUAGGGUUUCCCCAUUCUUUUAAACAACAAAAGAUUGAAUUCAUGGCAAAAUCAGAGAGGUCGGAACGAUUGCAUUUUGCUCCUCUUCGUCUCGCCACAACAUCUUUCUUUUUACAUUCGCCUUCUAGUACUCCAGAAAGUCUUGGAUUAAAGAUACCGGAGUUGGGAAGAUGAGGUUGACUUGCCAAAAUCUGUUCGAACCAACAUGCAGUCAUGUGGUCAUGCAUGGUUGAUGAAAGGCCAUGCUUGGUUGUUGCCUUCCUUGAGAAUAUGUCAAUAAACCAUGGAAAUUGCAUAUGGACUUAGAGAAAAGGAACUUGCUCUUUAACUCUGCUUUUUAUUCUCAUUGCUAAUGUAUUUCAAAAAGAAAAGACUGGUGGUAUCUCUUUUAACAGCAGCGUGACUUUAACUCAUACAUACAAGAAACUUUGCUACCAAAAUAUCCAUAAGAUCCAUAAUGUAGGUAGAUACAUAUAUUUUUUUGGUUCUUUCAAUAGUCUUUGGAUAUAUUCAAACAA